UACAGAGGCCCCAAGCGUUACUGAGAAUCACUGGGUUUAAAGGGUGCGUAGGUGGUCCGUUAAGUCUGUUGUGAAAGCCCUUGGCUCAACCAAGGAAUUGCUUCGGAUACUGGCGGACUUGAGGCUAGUAGAGGUCACUGGAACUGACGGUGGAGCGGUGAAAUGCGUAGAUAUCUGGAGGAAUACCGGUGGCGAAGGCGGCAUCCUGGACCGGCAUUGACGCUGAGGAGCGAAAGCCAGGGGAGCAAACGGG
rnacentral:rRNA from 1 species